rnacentral:tRNA from 1 species
CAGGGAGACAACAAAAUGUUUAAUAUUAUUAUUUUGUCACCUUAGGUCGAUCGGUAUCUCACAUUCUUAAUUUAUUAAGAAUUUCAUUUCCUAAGUUUUUCUAGGUCACACCCAUUAUUUUCCUGGGCCAUUAGCUCAGGUGGUUAGAGCGCACCCCUGAUAAGGGUGAGGUCCCUGGUUCAAGUCCAGGAUGGCCCAUAUCUCUAUGUUGGGGGUAUAGCUCAGUUGGUAGAGCGCCUGCUUUGCAAGCAGGAUGUCAGCGGUUCGAGUCCGCUUACCUCCACUGAUUACCACCUCUUCCAUAUAUAUAAAAAGGAAAUUUUUUGAGUUUUGACCAAAUUCUGAACGAAUCUAGCUUCCUAAUGAAAUCAUUAAGAUGCUGGACUCAUUGAAUUAAUUUCAUUGUUUUCAGAGAACCUUGACAACUGCAUAGAUUAUUUUUAAAGACAAUAAGCAUCUUUAAUGAUGCAGAUUUAUUAUUUGUGCGAACGCACUAAUAACAAUUCUAUUAAGCUGAUGCUUCAAUUUUGAAGUUAUU